CGUUCGAUUCUGACGUGCAAAUCGAUCGUCGAACCUUGGUAUAGGGGCGAAAGACUAAUCGAACCAUCUGGUAGCUGGUUCCCCCCGAAGUUUCCCUCAGGAUAGCUGGUGCUCGUUGUUACAGCUGACGAGUCUCAUCCGGUAAAGCGAAUGAUUAGAGGCCUUGGGGCCGAAAUGACCUCAACCUAUUCUCAAACUUUAAAUUGGGUGAGAAGCCCGGCUUGCUCGAUUGAAGCCCGGGCAUUCGGAUCGGAGUAGUACCCAGUGGGCCAUUUUUGGUAAGCAGAACUGGCGCUGUGGGAUGAACCAAACGUCGAGUUAAGGCGCCCGACAGGACGCAAAUCUGAUCCCACGAAGGGUGUCGCUUUCUCCAGACAGCAGGACGGUGGCCAUGGAAGUCGGAAUCCGCUAAGGAGUGUGUAACAACUCACCUGUCGAAGAAAGCAGCCCUGAAAAUGGAUGGCGCUCUAGCGUCCGGCCUAUACUCGACCGUUGAGGCAGAGCAGGUAUUAUCAGUGCCCGUAUGCUCUCAACGAGUAGGGGGGUGCAGGGGUGUGCAUGGAAGGGUUUCGAUGUGAAUCUACCUGGAGCCGCCCCUGGCACAGAUCUUGGUGGUAGUAGCAAACG
rnacentral:rRNA from 1 species